rnacentral:rRNA from 1 species
AGGCUACCGCUAUUGGAGUUCGAUUAAGCCAUGCGAGUCGCGAGUCCUAGGGACUCGGCGUACCGCUCAGUAACACGUGGGUAACCUGCCCUAUGCAGGGGGAUAACCUCGGGAAACUGAGAAUAAUACCCCAUAGUUCACUACGCCUGGAACGGUGAGUGGAUGAAAGCUCCGGCGGCAUAGGAUGGGCCUGCGGCGUAUCAGGUUGUAGGGGGUGUAAUGUACCCUCUAGCCAUCUACGCGUACGGGUGUUGGGAGACAUCGCCCGGAGAUGGAUUCUGAGACACGAAUCCAGACCCUACGGGGUGCAGCAGGCGCGAAAACUUGGCAAUGCGAGAAAUCGUGACCAGGGAACUCCAAGUGCAUCGGGUAAGACCGAUGCUUUUCUUGACUCUUCAAAGGUCUUGGAAUAAGGGGUGGGUAAGGACGGUGCCAGCCGCCGCGGUAAUACCGGCGCCUCAAGUGGUAGUCGCUUUUAUUGGGCCUAAAACGUCCGUAGCCGGUUUGGUACAUUCGUGGGUAAAUCAAGGCGCUCAACGUCUUGAAUUCUGCGAGCACGGCCAGACUUGGGACCGGGUGAGGUGUGGGGUACUCUCAGGGUAGGGGUAAAAUCCUGUCAUCCUGAGAGGACCACCUGUUGCGAAGGCGCCACACUAGAACGGAUCCGACGGUCAGGGACGAAGCCUAGGGGCACGAACCGGAUUAGAUACCCGGGUAGUCCUAGGUGUAAACGCUGUGGACUUGAUGUUGGGAGUGCUCCGAGCACCCUCAGUGUCGAAGCGAAGGUGAUAAGUCCACUGCCUGGGGAGUACGGUCGCAAGGCUGAAACUUAAAGGAAUUGGCGGGGGAGCACUGCAACCUGAGGAUUGUGCGGUUU